UACGGGGGGGGGCAAGCGUUGUUCGGAAUUACUGGGCGUAAAGGGCUCGUAGGUGGCCAACUAAGUCAGACGUGAAAUCCCUCGGCUUAACCGGGGGAACUGCGUCUGAUACUGGAUGGCUUGAGAUUGGGAGAGGGAUGCGGAAUUCCAGGUGUAGCGGUGAAAUGCGUAGAUAUCUGGAGGAACACCGGUGGCGAAGGCGGCAUCCUGGACCAACACUGACGCUGAGUGAGCGAAAGCCAGGGGAGCAAACGGG
rnacentral:rRNA from 1 species